GGACACCAAAGUGGCGCUGCCGCUGAGAGCUCGGGGCGUUGGGGCGUCCUCAGAGUGUCCCCCCACUCCGUCCUCCAGCGUGUCCUUCAGGACCUGGAUGACCUGAUCCUGACUGAACAAUCCUGAACCAGAAUACCUGGUCACGAGUUUCUGGUCUGAAGCUCAAGAUCAGGAAACAAUCACGUCUGAACAGUACAAAUUGCACAAAAUGUAGGUUUUGUUCAGGCCUAGUCAAAGUCUGUACUACUGAGAUUCUUUAGAUGGUUUGAAAACCCCCAAAUGAGGAUGAAUUAAAACAAUUUUGCAAACCAGAGUAGAUAAAAAAAACUGUGGCAAAACCUGUCAUUAGGUGUGACAAAAAAGUUAAUUGAAAAGAAGUUAAUUUCUCACAGUAGAAAUCGCUUAAGAAAUGAAAAGCUGUGCCGCAGAAAAUCCUGUCUGGACAAAAUAUCAGCUGCUUUCAAGAUAAAUGGACACUGUAGCGUCCAGAACAUCAAUAGUGAGUGAAUGAAUUACAACACUAAUGGGCAGAACUGCACUUUAAAGAUUUUCAAGCACGUGUGUGGAGGCAUUGAUUUUUAAAUGAAGUAUCAGAUCUUAAAUCACUCGGGACCUGAUCAGGACUUAUGAAAAAUGUCCACAUGUUAACAGCUGCUCACCUCUGACUGUAGAGUCAGUGGAAUAAUCAAAUAGUCUGAUACUGUAACAAACCCUGCAGGACGAGGAGCAGUGAUUAUCUUUGAAAAGACGCACUGUGAGCAGGAUGCAAAAGAAGGUAAAUCUGAAAACUGGAGCAAAGACUUGAUUCAUAGAAGGAAAGCUUUUGUAUCAAUAAUUAUGGUAUCUUGGACUAAAGGUUUGCAUGAAGCAACAUUUUUUUUCCUAACUCCACCUGAAAACCCAUUAAAACUAAAUGUAAGAGUAAAAAUCUGAAUGUUUUACCAUCAUCAACAGACCUCAGACGAGCCGUGUUAUGCAAGAUGACCUGAGAAUCCCUGAGAGCUGAAAGCUUUUUGCACGAAACCCGAAUCGAGAUCCUCUAAAUUAAACCAGACAGAUUCUAACCUGCCAAUAAAAUAUGGAACAAUUCCCUCCAGCUUGCGUCAGAAGGAGCCCAGAUAUUGAGACGUAGAUUUCUUUAGGUCGCUUUGCAUGGCUGAGAAGCAGAAUAAAGUUUAUUUUUAUUUAUUUUGUUUGCAUUAAAAAACAUAAAAGUUUAAUUUAUCUACCAGAGAAAAGGAAAACAUAAAAAUACUUAUAGUUUUUCUUAUGCUCAAUUAAAAGCUUUUAAAUAAAGAAAUGCCUCUUUGUAUAAUAAUCGUAACUACAUGAACUAACACCAGGACGAAAGCAACAUUUUAAGCUGAGAUGACUGAUCUCAUUAAGAAAGACUCAUUUUUAGGCCAGAGUAAAAUCCCUGAGCUCCUGAAAUCAGUUUAUUUUCUGCACCUGCUGUGCAGCUAUAAUUGAUUUGGUGGAGGGAUCAGGAAGUACACAGAGUGGCUAUUAUGCAUUAAUUAGAUGAAACUUAACUGAACUGCUUUCCUCUCAGCACACACUCUGAACCUGAAGCAAAGGUGUGACUAUUAUUUUUUCUUUAAUGUGCAACAAUGUGCAUUUAAACACAUGCAGCUGCAUGCCAGAUAAUACUGUGCAGAUUGAAGGUGCUCCCCUCCUUACAUAUUUAUUCUGUUCUUUCAUUUUUGUCUCAUAUGAAUGUUUUAGAUCAUUGAAUAAAGGGUAAUGUCAGGAAAGGUCAUUUGAGUUUUUAAAGUGAAAAAAAAAAAGAUAUCCAAACCAAGCAGGUCCUAUGCGAAUGAAAUAGUUAUUCACUUUAAUUAAUUAUGAAUUUACUUCAAUUAGCCAAUGUUUUGGUUCAGUUUCACUAGCCACACCCAGUUCUGCAGAAUCAAGAAACCAAUUAAAAAGAGCCUGUCUGACAACAGAGGUCUUAAAAGGCAACAAAUCAUUCAUAAGCUAAAGAAAUGCAAGAGCAGGUUGGUUGUCAACGUUUCAUUUUUGUUUACCGAGAGCUUCAGUAAACUCAAGAAUAACAGUGGCUGUUUCACUCCUAAAGACACUGACUGAACAAAUUAAAGUGCUGAUUUAUCAGGUACAUUUACAAGUUAAUACAUUUAUGUUUGUGUUAAAAAGAAAUAAAUACUCAGAGUCAAUUCA